rnacentral:rRNA from 1 species
UACAGAGGGUGCGAGCGUUGUCCGGAAUCACUGGGCGUAAAGGGCGCGUAGGCGGCCUGAUAAGUAGGGGGUGAAAUCCUGUGGCUUAACUGCAGGGCUGCCUCCUAGACUGUUAGGCUCGAGCACGGUAGAGGCAGAUGGAAUUCCCGGUGUAGCGGUGGAAUGCGUAGAGAUCGGGAAGAACAUCGGUGGCGAAGGCGGUCUGCUGAGCCGUUGCUGACGCUGAGGCGCGACAGCGUGGGGAGCAAACAGG